rnacentral:rRNA from 1 species
GACGAACGCUGGCGGCGUGCUUAACACAUGCAAGUCGAACGGAAAGGCCCUGCUUUUGUGGGGUGCUCGAGUGGCGAACGGGUGAGUAACACGUGAGUAACCUGCCCUUGACUUUGGGAUAACUUCUGGAAACUGGGGCUAAUACCGGAUAGGAGCUCCUGCUGCAUGGUGGGGGUUGGAAAGUUUCGGCGGUUGGGGAUGGACUCGCGGCUUAUCAGCUUGUUGGGGGGGUAGUGGCUUACCAAGGCUUUGACGGGUAGCCGGCCUGGUAGGGUGACCGGCCACAUUGGGACUGGGAUGCGGCCCGGACUCCUACGGGAGGCAGCAGUGGGGAAUAUUGCACAAUGGGCGGAAGCCUGAUGCAGCAACGCCGCGUGCGGGAUGACGGCCUUCGGGUUGUAAACCGCUUUCGCCUUUGACGAAGCGUGAGUGACGGUAAUGGGUAAAGAAGCACCGGCUAACUACGUG